GUGUUUGCUUCGGCAGCACAUAUACUAAAAUUGAAUGAUACAAAGAAGAUUAGCAUGGCCCCUACAUAAGGAUGACAGGCAAAUUCGUGAAGCGUUCCGUAUUUUU
rnacentral:snRNA from 1 species